AACGAACGCUGGCGGCAUGCCUAACACAUGCAAGUCGAACGAGACCUUCGGGUCUAGUGGCGCACGGGAGCGUAACGCGUGGGAACCUGCCCUUAGGUUCGGAAUAACUCCCCGAAAGGGGUGCUAAUACCGGAUAAUGUCUUCGGACCAAAGAUUUAUCGCCUUUGGAUGGGCCCGCGUUGGAUUAGCUAGUUGGUAGGGUAAAAGCCUACCAAGGCGACGAUCCAUAGCUGGUCUGAGAGGAUGAUCAGCCACACUGGAACUGGGACACGGCCCAGACUACUACGCGAGGCAGCAGUGGAUAAUAUUGUACAAUGGGCGAAAGCCUGAUCCAGCCAUGCCGCGUGAGUGAUGAAGGCCUUAGGGUUGUAAAGCUCUUUUACCCGGGAUGAUAAUGACAGUACCGGGAGAAUAAGCUCCGGCUAACUCCGUG
rnacentral:rRNA from 1 species